rnacentral:rRNA from 1 species
GACGAACGCUGGCGGCGUGCUUAACACAUGCAAGUCGAACGGAAAGGCCCUGCUUUUGUGGGGUGCUCGAGUGGCGAACGGGUGAGUAACACGUGAGUAACCUGCCCUUGACUUUGGGAUAACUUCAGGAAACUGGGGCUAAUACCGGAUAGGAGCUCCUGCUGCAUGGUGGGGGUUGGAAAGUUUCGGCGGUUGGGGAUGGACUCGCGGCUUAUCAGCUUGUUGGUGGGGUAGUGGCUUACCAAGGCUUUGACGGGUAGCCGGCCUGAGAGGGUGACCGGCCACAUUGGGACUGGGAUACGGCCCAGACUCCUACGGGAGGCAGCAGUGGGGAAUAUUGAACAAUGGGCGGAAGCCUGAUGCAGCAACGCCGCGUGCGGGAUGACGGCCUUCGGGUUGUAAACCGCUUUCGCCUGUGACGAAGCGUGAGUGACGGUAAUGGGUAAAGAAGCACCGGCUAACUACGU